UACGAAGGGGGCUAGCGUUGCUCGGAAUUACUGGGCGUAAAGGGCGCGUAGGCGGAUAGUUUAGUUGGGGGUGAAAGCCCGGGGCUCAACCUCGGAACUGCCUUCAAUACUGGCUAUCUUGAGUACGGGAGAGGUGUGUGGAACUCCGAGUGUAGAGGUGAAAUUCGUAGAUAUUCGGAAGAACACCAGUGGCGAAGGCGACACACUGGGCCCGUUACUGACGCCUGAGGGCGCGAAAAGC
rnacentral:rRNA from 1 species